UACAGAGACUGCAAGCGUUAUUCGGAUUCACUGGGCGUAAAGGGUGCGCAGGCGGCCGAGUGUGUGAGGCGUGAAAGCCCGGGGCUUAACCCCGGAAUUGCACCUCAAACUACACGGCUAGAGGCAUUGGAGAGGGUAGCAGAAUUCAUGGUGUAGCAGUGAAAUGCGUAGAUAUCAUGAGGAAUACCAGAGGCGAAGGCGGCUACCUGGACAAUUGCUGACGCUCAGGCACGAAAGCGUGGGGAGCAAAAGGG
rnacentral:rRNA from 1 species